UUGUAGUGUAAAGUAUAAAAAUAAAGAUCUAUAAAUAUGUCAGACAAAUUAUAUACAAUGGGUGAUCACUUGGUAAGUAAUUUUUAUACCUUUGUUGUGGUCUGUGUAGAUUGAGGCUAUUUUGGCAACAGCCAUGCACUUAGACAUAUAGCAUGACCAGUCCAUAUGUGGACUGCCUAUGUCCAUUAAACAUGAUUGAAUACCCAAAUUAGAUUCAAGAUUAUGAUAUGUCCCAGGCAUGGAUGGAUCCAAAAAUGACCAUGUACUGAAGUUAUAUGGCAUGACCCAUGUAAAAUAUGGUGGGAAACAUACAAAGGUCCAUUUUGUAAAUUAAUGGCAUUAUGUAUUUAAUCUUAAUUUAUAGGGCCUGUGAGUUCAUAUCUGGAAUAAAAUAAUGGCAGAUCUACAGAAAUAUCACUGCCAAGUCAGUGUCAAACAAGUUCUGCAGGAGGACUGAAACUGGAUGUUCUCAGGAUGAAAAAGAAAUUGUUGACUUUAACCCAUUGAGUUGCAUUGCACCCUGAUGCACCCUACUUUAGUAUUUUACUCUGU